GGUGGCUUCCGGCCGCCAGGCGAGACUCCGCGGGAAAACUCCCUGCUAGAGAGACUAGGAGAUUUGGGGCUGCGGCCGUUUCCUCCGGAGCACCCACGGGACUGUGUGCUGGGGUCCCUCCACCGGCUGUGUCCUUUAUUCUUCUUUCUCACCCAACGAUUUACCUGAACGGUUAUAAAGUGCACGUUAUUUCCCUAAGGUCCUUCUUACUGAUGUGUUGCUCUUCUUCAUGGCUCGUGAAAACUAUUAGAGUCAUCCAAGGUUUGGAGACAGAAAGGAGCACCGCCAAGUGAGGCAGAGCAGUCUCAGAAACAUAGGAAAAUGGUGGGAAGAGAGAUCAGCAACGUUAACUGGGUGUCAAGAAAACAUACCGAGAUUGAAGCCAUCCACUUCUGCAGGAACACCGAAAAGAAAGGACUGUGAAGACAACCAGAGUGGGAAGGAACCUCAGAAACCUUUGGACCAACAGAGGAAAAAGCCCAGAGGUGCAGGACAUAGAUCAAAACCAGUCGCAUGCGAGUCAUUCUAGGAUCCGGCCAAAGUUAAUUAACAGAGGGCCAUUCAGUCUCCACCGAGUCAAACAAUAAUUAGGAUGAAACAAUCCUAUUAACCCAUGGAUUUAAUGUCUACAAAGCAGAAAGUAGAAUAACUUGGACUUAAAGGCUGAAUGACCCAUUUCUUCAGCCUCCUCUCAAAGGCAAUAUUUCUCAGCCCUUCAGUCAUUUUCAUUGCUCUCUUCUGGCCUCUCUCCAAGAUUCUGUAUCUUGUUUAAAUAGUGAAGUCCAACACCGAACAUGAUUUAAGAACAGUCAUGCCUGGAAAAGUAACAAAGGCCCAACGAAUACGGACUCCAGAAAGUAAACAUUUUCUCAAAAACAAAAGUAUUGUAAUAUUAAUAAUGGUAGUAAGAAUUAGGUUGACCAAAUAAAAUCAUUUUUGUUGCCC
rnacentral:lncRNA from 1 species